CCCUUAGAUGCUCUGGGCCGCACGCGCGCUACACUGGUCGAUGCAACGAGUUUCUUUCCUUGGCCGACAGGCCUGGGCAAUCUUUGAACAUCGAUCGUGAUCGGGAUAGAUUCUUGUAAUUUUUGAUCUUAAACGAGGAAUUCCUAGUAAACGCAAGUCAUCAGCUUGCAUUGAUUACGUCCCUGCCCUUUGUACACACCGCCCGUCGCACCUACCGAUUGAAUGGUCCGGUGAAAUCUCCAGACGUGGUUUUACCAUGAAAGCUGAUUGAACCUUAUCAUUUAGAGGAAGGUGAAGUCGUAACA
rnacentral:rRNA from 1 species